ACUGCGCAUAUCCACGGUCCCCGGAAGAGGGGCGGAUUCAAUUUUGUUCCCUCUGAAGUAGGUCGUAUGCGGGGCCGAUUGGGAGAGGGAGGCGAUCCUUAAGAAGGCCUGGUGACUGCAGAGCGAGGAACGCAAGUUCCCGUCGAUCCUGAGGGCUAGCAACAUUUCUUCAACCUGGUGGUCGAAGUUUUGAGGUACUUUACCUUUUCCCCGAUGGCUGCAGCAAGAACAGAGCCUGGCCGAGGUGGUGAGGAUCUUUGAUAGAUGUUGCUUCCCUAUGGCAUCUGAGGGAGAACUCCCAAGUUGGAAACACACUUUGAAAUGGAAAGAAAUUAAAGGGACUUCUGUCAUUGAACUCAUCAGGGGAAGAUGAUCAGACCUCAUGAGCCGCAGUACAGUAGAAGGCUAUAUUGAGGGCUGUCCCCUAAUGGAAUAUGAUACCACUGAAGAGGAAUGGAAACGGACACCUCAGGGGCUCUGGGGUCGGAUACUCGGUCCAGGGUCAUGGAACCGGCCCAGGUAAGGAUUGUUUUUUUUUAUUUAAUUUUUUUGGCUCUGCAUAACAAAACUUUCAAUUUCCAGAAACAUUUACAUUUCUUCCCCACACAGAUAUCAGCUAUCAGAACACUUCCAUCAAACUAUAGACAUCACCCCAACAUACUAUACAAAAACCCUUAUUAGUAUAGCAAACAGGUUUACUUCGACAUACUGCAGAAAGGUUUGCCAAGUUUUAUGAAAACUCUUUGUUUUUGAGUGUACCAUACAUGUCAAAAAGUCCAAAGGAAUCUAUUCCAUGAUUAAUUUACGCCAACCAAAAAGUCCAGGGCCCUUCUCGGAUAUCCAACAAAAGUAAAAUGUUCUUCCUAGCACAAAAAGCCAGGAUGUUAAAAAGUUUUUUCUGAUGUGCAUUAAUAAUACGACUGCUGGGUAAGCCUAGAGAAAAGACACUGGGUCCAAUUUAAGCUCCAUCUUCAGAAUCUUUUUCAUUUCACCCAAAGUAUCAAUCCGUGUGCCUGAAGUUUGAAAAACUUCCAGUAUUUACUUUGCAUUUAGAACACAUUGGAGAAACUCCCACCUUAAAUUUCAAGACACAAUCUGGAGUCAGAUGGGCUCUAUGCAGAAUUUUGAGUUGAAAACUGAAAUUUUCUUUGCAUUAUCACAGAUACCUUCCCAUGCUUCAGCUGCAAUUUCUAUUCCCAGCUCUUCCUCCCAGACCCUUCCCAGCUGCUCAACCUCUCCACAAGAACAUUCCCUCAGGUUGCUGUAAAAAGUACUAAUGCAGACUUCACCUUCAGAUUAAAGCAUGCUCUUUUCUAUGUCAGAAUUAUAGAAAUCAGUUAACCAUGAUGCCUUUUGUCUGUAUAUAAUCUCUUAUCUGAAAGAAACAAAAAUGAUCCUUGUUGGGUAUGUUAAAUUUCUGUACUAUUUGACUAAAAGAUAUCAUUGUUCCUUCAUCACACAAAUCUCCCAGAAUGAAAAUCCCUUAGAAAUCCAAAGUUUAUAUCCAGAAUCCAUUAUGCCAGGCUGAAAAUCUGGACUGCUGGUUAUUGGAGUGAAGGUUGAUAUUUUUGCUGCGUUUCCCUCAAUUUGUCGCACCGCCCUCCAAGCCCUGACUGUAUAAUUGUUAUUGGGUUGUGAAAAUAUUCCUUAUCUAGUUUCAUCUUAUUGAGGAAAAGCAAGUUGAUAAGAGGGUAUUUUACUUGUGAAGCUUCAAUGUCUAGCCAAAUUGAGGAGUGGUCCCUGCAAACCCAAUCAACCACAUAAGAUCAAAGGAACUUAAUUGAUAUCUUUUGAUGUCUGAAAAAUCCAGACCCCUUAGAAUACUGGGUAUUUUGUUGUUCCAGAUGAAAGAAACAAACCAGCCAUUAUUUCUUUUUAAGUAUUUUUUGGGUAAAAAUGACUGGAAUCAUUUGUAUUGGGUAGAGCGAAGAAGAAGGUUCAUUUUGAGCAAGGAUAUUCGGCCAAGCCAAGAAACGGGAAGUGUGCUCCAUUGCUCAAGAUCCUGUUUGAUUUUGUCAAAUAACUGUGUAAAAUUAGGUUCGAACAAUCGAUCAAACAUAAAUAUGCCUAAGUAAACAAAACCUGUCUGCAACCAUUUAAAGGGCAAAACACCCCGAGUGUCAGGUACCUGCUGCAAAUUCCCCAGAGGCAUAGCCUGAUUUUCAGGCAUAACCUGAAAAUGCUCUAAAUGAAUUGAUGCAUUGUAUAAGGUGGUGGGUGAAGGAUUAUUAAUUUAACUAGAGGCCUGAGACUUCUGGUGCUUCCACAAGAACCAUUGUUGGAGCCGGUUUUGACUUUGAUGUGAUUUUUGCGAUAAAUGGAGAUAAUCUGGUAUUAAUGAAAUCAUUUUCUCCGCACUAUUACCAGAAACUGAGAUGCAGGCACAGGUACACUGGGGACUGGAAACUUUUGAUGUGUUUUGAAGGGAUGGGGCAUGGAAGGCUGAUCCAGCAGCUAAUCAUCCAUCUGUAUUUAUCCAUAAGAAGCUGGUGGUGAGCCGUUGCCUUGAACCUCUGCAGCUCCUGACGUAUGGGGUAGGAGAGAGAUCCUUGAUUGAUGGUGUGUAGCUUUGAAGACAAAUCCCAGCCUGUCUCUCCAUGCUUUUGCUGCCUUUGGUCGAGCUCAUGGGUUUGGAAGUUUUCUCUUGAGCCCGGUGGAAUGAGUGAACAACUGUGUCUCAGGUUUUGCAUUAUAUCAAGCUCCUUGAGUGAAGCUUCAGUCAAUGAGGAAAGCGAUAUUCCAUCAUCCUAUCUAUCCCUACUUGCCUGUGGCCUUAACGGUCACGUACUUACAGAUACCAAUUACAGCAUUUCACAGUUAUCACAGCCAUCUACCUCAGGCACAGGUUAGUCAAAUGACAGAUUCCACCAGAGGCACCUCCUUAUAUAUCCUCUCCAGUAUGCAGGGCAUGGGCAGGGCUUAAUGCAUGAUCUGAAUUGCCUGUUCCUGUUUGGUCAGUUUGAAUUGACCCUGUUCUGGUUGGUUGAUUGAUCUGAUUCCAUCAUUCUGACUGGAGAUGAAGUAUAUUUUGAGUAGUUUCCAAUCACCCCCAUGACAGUGGAAACAUCGCUGAACGGAUGGACAAAGCAUUAUAGUGCAGAGCACUGGUAGGGCAAUCAUUUGCUGGGCUGGCAGCAAGGGUUAGAUGCUGUUCCUGAGGUGCUUAUACUUUUUUUUUCUCAGUUAUGUUUGGGGAAAUAUUUCAUUUUCAUUUCUGCCUGGGCUUGUGUUUAGUUUCCUUUUUUCACAGAUCCAAAGACUGAAAUCCUUCAACUGCUGUCUCAUUGUGACAAUUACCAACUGUUUCAGUUGGCAAAUUUCUAUAGAGAAAGACUGAAACCUGCAAUUGAAGAAUGGAUUGAAGAAUUUGGCUUAAUUUUGAGAGAGGAGGGACAUUUCAGUGGACAGGAGCACGAGAUUCUGGUGCCGAGGAUCUUGUCUCCACUCUCAGUCAAAGCUGAUCAGUGGAGGAGCUGGACCUGAGAUCAAACUCCCUCACAGAUCGAUCUGUCCACUGACUCUGCCGCCUCAUACAGACUCUCCUGAGUGUGAAAUGGAUCUGUUCAGUUGGCAGGAAACAGCUGAAAUUCCUGCAGGAACCCAGAUCCCAGCUGACUGUGGAACUGUGAACAUCUGGAAGUGGGAACUACUCCGCCCUUGGAGUGGGAACAUUUCUGGCGAAUUUCUCAUCCAUAAAACUGGAAGGCAUAUGGAGGAGCAAAAUCGGUCCACUCAGCCCUUCGCAUCUCCCUAACAUUUGAUCACGGCUGCUUUAUUCUCAUGCUCAAGCCCAUUAUCCUGCUUCCUCUCCUUUGCCACCCUGAUUAUUCAAGAAUCAAGCCACUUACACUUUAAAUAUACCCAAUGACUUGGCCUCGCAGCUGUCUGUGGCAAAGAAUUCCAAAGGUUCCCCAACCCUGGCUAAGGAAAUUCCUCCUCAUCUCUGCUCAAAAGGAACACUCCUCAACUCUGAGACUGUGCCCUCUGAUUAUAGACUCUCUGACUUUUGGAAACAUCCUCUCCAUGUACACUCCAUUCAGACUGUUUCAAAACUAUCUUCUCCACAGCCUUCUCAUUUCCAGUGAGUACAGGCUCUGAGAUAUCAAUCACUCCUAAUAAUUUUUUAAAAACUUUCAUUCCCUGGAUCAUUUACUUGAAGCUCCUCUCCAAUCCGAACACUGUUCUUCAGUAAAGGGCUCAAACUGCUCACAAUCCUCCAAAUGUACAAUAAAUGUUCGGUUAAGAUUAGUGCAGUAUAAUUUUCUACAUCAAUUAUAUAUGACACCACAAAAAAUAAAUAAAUUAAAUACAAACUUAUCGGAUCAGUGUUUCCGAUGUAACCAGGAAACUGGUACUUUUUUUACAUUCUACAUGGUCUUGUUCUAAAAUUCAACCUUUUUGGACAAAUUUAAGACUUUUACUGGAACAAAUUACAGGAACACAAUUUCCUCAUAAUCCAAUAUUACUCUUAUUAGGCGAUAUUGAAGGGAUAAAACCAAAACUCAAACUAAAUAAAUACCAGAAAGAAUUUAUAAAAAUUGCACUGGCAGUAGCCAAAAAAGCUAUUGCAGUUACUUGGAAAUCGGAUACAUAUUUAAGUAUAGAUUCUUGGAAGAAAUAAAUUUAUGGUUGUAUUCCAUUAGAAAAAAAUACUUAUAAUUUAAGAGAUAAAUAUGAAACAUUUCUGAAAAUUUGGAGCCCUUAUUUACAAAAGACAGGAUUAAAUCUAUAAAUAUUCUGAAGAUGAAACAAUUGGUUAUUUGGGGAAAGAAAUAAAUAUACAUAUUAAAGUUAUUACGAAUUCCAUGGAGCAUGUGGAGAUCUUCCAACAACCAGGCAUUCUUUCUUUCUUUUUUUUCUAUAGGGCAG